rnacentral:rRNA from 1 species
GACGUAGGGCGCGAGCGUUGUCCGGAUUUAUUGGGCGUAAAGGGUGCGUAGGCGGCGUGGUAAGUCGGAUGUGAAAUCUCGGAGCUUAACUCCGAAACUGCAUUCGAUACUGCCGUGCUUGAGGACUGGAGAGGAGACUGGAAUUUACGGUGUAGCGGUGAAAUGCGUAGAUAUCGUAAGGAAGACCAGUGGCGAAGGCGGGUCUCUGGACAGUUCCUGACGCUGAGGCACGAAGGUCAGGGGAGCAAACGGG